GUCGUUUCUAUUUAAGCCUCGGGAAGUUUUGUUUGUUUUACAUAAAACUGAUUUUUGGGGUUUUUGCUAAUUGUGGUGGUCGCCGAUGACUGGGUGGAGUCCGGUGACGGCGGAGAGUCGCCAGCGACAGUGGCGACAGGGCAGUGGUGGUGGCUGUGGUAACAGGCCACUCCAUCCCAGAUACGUUCGGUUCAGUCAAGUCCGGCUUAGAUAGAGGAGACAAGAUGACAGCUAAAGACUAAAGAGAAUUGUGUAGGAUAACUCACGCUAGGUAAUAUAUAAUUUGCCCUUUGAUAAAAAGAAGGUAAAAGUAACAAUAAAAAUGACAACAAAUAUUAAAGAACUUCUUUGCGUAACACUGAAGAACCUUGAACGGUGAUUGUGACGACGGUGGCGAAUCUGGUCUGGAUUUUGCCAGGUUCUCUCAGUAACCUUUCUAUAAAAAUUUAAUACUUUUGACUUUUCACUUUUGAUUUAGCUUACUGUAAAUUGAUACGAGUAGUUUCAUGCUUUUUAUGCUAUCUAAUCGAUUGAUUCUUGGUUGUCGUUUCUGUUCACCAACAACACGAAUCAACGCCGAUGUUUGAACGCCAAAUCGCGAAACAGGAAACGUAGUUGUCAAAAUUCAGGUCACCAUGUGAAAUAGUUGCCAGGCAGAUUAUUUUUCAAGUCCUUGCUAUCAUGUUGAGCCAUUUAGCCUUGGUUAACAAUCAGCGAUGUGGCUUAGAAUAGAAGUUAAAGAGAAUGGAUAAGUUGUAAAUGCUUACUUGAUGAGGAAGGCAUGAAUGAGUUGUGCAGGUUCGUGUGUGAAAUGUGAAGACCAGAAUCAAGUCGCGCGCCUCAAAGAGGUCGCGUGAAAAAUGAUGACACAAGGAAUUGCUAUUUGGAUGGCUACAACCUAGGAACAUUAUGCAGCCGAAAGCCUGACAUAAGCCGUAACGCCUAUGCCAGAAAUCUACUAACAGGGAAAUAUAUUUUUAUCUUCGUAACUUGCAGCUGGUGUAAGUAAGAUAAGUUGCUUAUGGAUUGAUACAACGAUAUUUUGUAUACACCAGGUAGAUAGGGUAGACGCUGAGAAUGAAAUACACAAACUUAAUGUAAGAAGCAUCGGAUUUUUAUCCACUGUGAUAUAUAUAUAUAACCAAUCCCCCGCCGCAUCGCGGCGGGUCAUAAA